rnacentral:rRNA from 1 species
UACGUAGGCAGCGAGCGUUGUUCGGAAUUACUGGGCGUAAAGCGUGUGUAGGCGGUGCUCUAAGUUCGGUGUGAAAUCUCCCGGCUUAACUGGGAGGGUGCGCCGGAAACUGGAGUGCUCGAGCGUGGGAGAGGAAAGCGGAAUUCCUGGUGUAGCGGUGAAAUGCGUAGAUAUCAGGAGGAACACCUGCGGUGUAGACGGCUUUCUGGACCAUUGCUGACGCUGAGACACGAAAGCGUGGGUAGCAAACAGG